rnacentral:rRNA from 1 species
UACGAAGGGUGCAAACGUUGCUCGGAAUCAUUGGGCGUAAAGCGCACGUAGGCGGCUUGCCAAGUCGGACGUGAAAUCCCUCAGCUCAACUGAGGACGUGCAUCCGAAACUGGCGAGCUUGAGUACUGAAGAGGAUCGCGGAAUUCCCGGUGUAGAGGUGAAAUGCGUAGAUAUCUGGAGGAACACCGGUGGCGAAGGCGGCGUCCUGGACCGGUAUUGACACUGAGGAGCGAAAGCCAGGGGAGCAAACGGG